rnacentral:lncRNA from 1 species
AAAUUAAUAUGAAUUAAUGAAAAUCAAAUGAAUUAAAACAAAAAUCAAAAAAUAAAAAAAAAACGUGAACCACUUGAUCUCCCUCAUUAAUUGAGGUGACAUAUCAAGUGAAUAGAAACGCGCGUUCCAUGGUGGAACUUAGUCGACGCGCCAGACGCGUGGUAAUCAAAACCAACACUUAAGAUUAAAACAUUUCAAUUGGAUCAUGUGGUCUAGAGACAUGCCAACACACCACC